AAUAUACCUAGCACAACAUUAAUACCAAGCCUUUGGGUAGUGAUAUUAACUGUGAGUGGUAUUCUUGUUGUAAUGAUCAAACAUUGACAAUAAGUUAUGUCAAAUAACAAAUCUAUCUUUUGAUGGAUUUAUUAUUCACAUUAGGUUUUCU